rnacentral:piRNA from 1 species
UAGACUGAAGGAUCCCGAGGAAUCAGUCUGU